rnacentral:rRNA from 1 species
GGACGAUGCGAAGUGAGCAUGCAGGAAUGAGUAGCGAUAAAAGUGGUGAGAAUCCACUUCGCCGAAAGUCUAAGGUUUCCUACGCGAUGCUCGUCAUCGUAGGGUUAGUCGGGUCCUAAGCCGAGUCCGAAAGGGGUAGGCGAUGGCAAAUAGGUUAAUAUUCCUAUACCAAUAGAAGUAUGCGAUGGAAGGACGCAUAGGGUUAGGUGAGCCAACUGAUGGAAGUGUUGGUCUAAGGGCGUAGAUUGGAGGAUUGGCAAAUCCGCCUCUGUAUUCGAAACCUCAAAGGCUCUUUGAAAUCUUCGGAUGGAAAGGAGAAUCAUUGAUACCGUCGUGCCAAGAAAAGUUUCUAAGUUUAGCUUCUAUUGCCCGUACCGCAAACCGACACAGGUAGAUGAGAUGAGUAUUCUAAGGCGCGUGAAAGAACUCUAGUUAAGGAACUCUGCAAACUAGCACCGUAAGUUCGCGAUAAGGUGUGCCACAGCAAUGUGGUCUCAGCAAAGAGUCCCUCCCGACUGUUUACCAAAAACACAGCACUUUGCAAACUCGUAAGAGGAAGUAUAAGG